rnacentral:rRNA from 1 species
UACGUAGGUGGCUAGCGUUGUCCGGAAUCAUUGGGCGUAAAGCGCGUGUAGGCGGUCCGGUAAGUCCGCUGUGAAAGCCAGGGGCUCAACCCUUGGAUGCCGGUGGAUACUGUCGGGCUUGAGUACGGAAGAGGCGAGUGGAAUUCCUGGUGUAGCGGUGAAAUGCGCAGAUAUCAGGAGGAACACCAAUUGCGAAGGCAGCUCGCUGGGACGUUUCUGACGCUGAGACGCGAAAGCGUGGGGAGCAAACAGG